rnacentral:rRNA from 1 species
CAGCCACGGUAAUACCAGCUCUCCGAGUGGUGGGGACGUUUAUUGGGCCUAAAGCAUCCGUAGCUGGCCGUUCAAGUCCCCCUGUUAAACCCAGCGAUUUAAUCGCUGGUCUGCGGGGGAGUACUGUUCGGCUAGGGGGCGGGGAGGAGGCAGACGGUAUUUCCGGGGUAGGGUGGAAAUCCUAUAAUCCCGGGAAGACCACCAGUGGCGAAGGC